AUUUUUUUUUUUUGUUGUCCUUUGUCGAAAUUGAAGCGUGAAGCGGAUUGUAAUUUGAGCUUCCCGCGCAGUGCAUUGCGGCUCUCAGGGAGAGAAGAAUGUCGUCGGGAAGCGAACAGCCCGAAAAUGGAGGAGCGGACGACAAGUCGCUGAAGCUCGCCGUAGCGAUCUCUCUUCUCCGUUAUAAGUUCCUCCAAAAGCAACCUCCUUUUCCCAAUCCUUCCGAAUCCGAUGCUCACCGAUGGAAGCGAAAGGCUAAAGAGCGAAAGCAAGAGAUUUUAAGACUCAGAGAAGAUCUCAAGCAAGCUGAAGAUGCUUCACAAUUCGAUUUAUUCCCGCAGAGUUCUUCUUGCAAGUGCUAUUUCUUUGAUCGCUUGGGGAAAUUAAGCCCUAAGCCACUUUCAGAUUCAGAUUGCUCUGAUCGCCGAUUCAAUGACGUUUUGCGACGGAGGUUUAUCAGACAAGUAAGGUUCAAGGAAAGGAGAAAAAAAACAGGUUGCUCGGUACAGGGACGUUGUUUAUCAGCCCUUAGCAAUGAAAAUGAAUUGGAGCAGCUUGGGGCCUCGGUUGAUUUCAUUGUUGAGCUUUGCAACACUGUUUCUCCCGUGGAGGCAAAUUUUGCAAACUGGUCUCACCAAGCUGUAGACUUCAUUUUAGCUUCAUUGAAGAGUUUGUUAUCAAUGGAAAAGAGCAUGGAACUCAUUGAAGGAAUUAUUAGCAGCUUAAUUUCACGGUUGGUUAAAAGGAUGUGUUCCCCCAUACAAGAAAAUGGAUCAAAUUGUAACAACAUGGAUGCUCAGUUCUAUUUUCAGCAUUUGAUUCGUAAGCUUGGAAGUGAGCCCUAUAUUGGACAACGUGUGAUACUCUUCAUUUCUCAGAGAAUUUCUGUUCUUGCAGAAAGCUUACUUUUCACAGAUCCAUUUGAUAUUGCCUUUCCUCACAUGCAUGAAUGUAUGUUCACAAUGAUCCAGCUAAUUGAGUUUUUGGAAUCUGACUACUUAUCAAUUUGGUCAAAGGAUGAAGGCUUUGAUAAGAUGCUCUUUGAAGAAUGGGUGGCAUCAAUCCUUCACGCCAGAAAAGCGUUAGAAUUGUUGGAAAGCAGAAAUGGACUAUAUGUGCUCUACAUGGAUCGAGUCACAGGUGAAUUGGCUAAACAAGUAGGCCAGAUUUUAUCACUCCAUGAUAUAGGACCGGAGAUUCUUGAUAAGCUGCAGCGCUAACCACAACUUUUGGAGAAAAUCUUAAGAAGUGAGCCAUUGAAUCUUUUCUCCAGCCAAAGAUUAUGAAGCUAAUCUUGUGACUUCAGGGAUGCCGGAUAUACUUAGACAUGGCUGAGAUGAAAUUUACGGUCGGUUUCUCACUGGUUGUUGUCUUAAUAUUAUUGUCUCAAUCUGUUCCAAUUUCAGCUCGUGAAGGUGCUCUGAAUUAUCCACUGGUUAGCAGGUUUCAGGGCCAAUAUAUGCAGCGAUGGAGGCAAUCAACUAAUGAGGAUGUGAAUCUAUUUCAAACUCAAACUCUCCAAGUACAUGACAGAAGAAGGAGUGGUGGAAUUCCAACCCGAGCUCGCGGUAAAUCAUCAUCAGCUAUACCAACCAGAUUACCUUGUCUACCUCAUGUUGGUUUUUUCCUUUGUCUGUCUUUAUCCUUGGGCAUCUUUCUGUUAUAGUGUGCUUUGUAUUCCAGAGUAUUCCAUCUUCUUCUACUACUGUAGAAAGAAUUAGUGCUCUGGUGGAAAACAGGUCCGAAUCAGAAAGUUCUCAUUAAUAUGAACAAUGAUUCAUGUUCCAGACUCCCCCAUGUACUUACUUAGAAUUAGGGGAUGGUCUUAUUUCAUUUACUUUUCUUUUAAUUAUACCUUUUUAGAAGGGGUAUCUUGUGUUUGUGUGUGUAUGUGCGGCUUGUUUUUUUUUUUUUUUGGGUAUGAAUCGAAAGGAAUGAAUAAAGACAGUAAUUGGAUGACAGAUGAUGUAUUUAGCUUUGGAUAGU